rnacentral:tRNA from 1 species
GUAGUAUAUGUGUCAAGUAUGCUGUCUUUCCAAGUCAGUGGUCUCGUUGUGGGUCCGUGUA